GUGAACGCUGGCGGCAGGCCUCACACAUGCAAGUCGAGCGGCAGCGGGUCCUUCGGGAUGCCGGCGAGCGGCGGACGGGUGAGGAAUACAUCGGAAUCUGCCCUGUCGUGGGGGAUAACCUAGGGAAACUUAGGCUAAUACCGCAUACGACCUACGGGUGAAAGCGGGGGAUCGCAAGACCUCGCGCGACAGGAUGAGCCGAUGUCCGAUUAGCUAGUUGGCGGGGUAAAGGCCCACCAAGGCGACGAUCGGUAGCUGGUCUGAGAGGAUGAUCAGCCACACUGGGACUGAGACACGGCCCAGACUCCUACGGGAGGCAGCAGUGGGGAAUAUUGGACAAUGGGCGCAAGCCUGAUCCAGCCAUGCCGCGUGGGUGAAGAAGGCCUUCGGGUUGUAAAGCCCUUUUGUCCGGGAAGAAAUCGUCUGGGCUAAUACCCCGGGCGGAUGACGGUACCGGAAGAAUAAGCACCGGCUAACUUCGUG
rnacentral:rRNA from 1 species